rnacentral:tRNA from 1 species
GCGGAUGUGGCGAAACUGGCAGACGCACUAGACUUAGGAUCUAGCGCCUUAGGCGUGUGGGUUCGACUCCCUCCAUCCGCA